UCUGAGUUAACUCUCUCUUAGGUAUCUUUGGUAGAGACCUAUUGUUGAUUGGGACCUAAUCUUUGCCAUUUAACAUAAUAAAAUCAUUACAUUUAUUAUAAAUUACAUGUUUGCGCUUACUCAAAUACGUUUGUGCAUAUUCGUGUGUUACUGUGUUUCAGUUUCUUUGCUGUUUCCUUUGAUAUUUAUCCUUAAUUAUCAUACACGUUUUCUUUUCCCCUUUCUCUCUUCUAAUGUAUAAAGGCAUCGGACUUUGAAGUCAGCUAAAUCUUGCUUUUAAAAAAUAAACAACACUAUUUGUCUGUCCACAUCAAAGGGAAUCAUUGUCUACCACUUUCCUCCAAUGCACCAAGAAGAUGUUCGCAUGCCAUUCCUUCCUAGUACCUCUCUACCGCUGAUGGGAAUUUACAACCAACUUCAAACUCUUCAAGAUUAUUAUGUACAUUCUACAUCUUCUCGUUCAAAAAUCAUUGAUCAGAGAUAGGAAGAAAGCAUUUAUCUAUGGGGCAUCAACUCUCUCCUACUCACCUACAUGUUUCAAGUGGGUUCCGAGGGGUGUCAUACACAGAAGCAUCAGAAAAUCGACACUGCAGAAAGAAAUGUAUGGUGCACCAGUGAUAAGAUGCUACCAGUCACUUCUGAACUCUGUGGCUGCCAGGACAGUGAUUGAAGCCAAAUGUCUUUAAUCAAAAAGAUGGGAGGUAAGGCAUAAGAGAUGUCUGAUACAUAUGAUGUCUUCAAAGAAUUCCAAAAAGCAAUGUCAAAGAAGGGAUCAGAUUUUAAACCCGACAAACCCAAAGAAAGUGGAAUCUAGACAAUCAUGCCAGUAUCUGUCACAUUUCUGUUGCUUUCCUCUUUGCCCUUCUCUUUUCUUAUAACUUUGUUAUUAUAAUAAUUCUUAUUAUAUUUAAAUUAUAUGUUAUGAUAAUAAUUAUUAUUAUCACAGUGGACUGAAGAUGUUAAUUAUCAACUUGAGUCUACAUUUUGGGACUUGUAGAGACCAGUAGAUAUUUGAUUAUUUAAGAUAACUAGAAAAGUCAGAGGGCUUGCCCUAGAUUCCAUAUAAAAGCAGGAUAAGAGCUGGCCUCACAGAAUACAUUUAAAGGAAUAGUAGAUAAAAAAUGAAGUCACUUUAUGAUUACAUCCAACAUGGCAUUUCUGUAAAAACAAACAAACAAACAAACAAACAACAGUUAAAUGACUGAAUAUACAAUAAAGUUUUGGCUUUGGCCCUGCCA
rnacentral:lncRNA from 13 species